GCCGGUGAGAGGAGGGACAUGCAGCUUCUACUGCCUGUGGCUUCCACUCUGCUGAGUUAUCUGUGGCUUCCACUCUGCCGGGUUGUCUGUGGUCAAUGUCUCCCUACCUGGCAGGCCAAAGCGAGGCCUAUCCUCUUUUGACCCCCUUGGUCAGUACGUGCCCAGGAACCAUGUUCAAUAUCAUCUUGGAUCAAGUGCACUCAGGAUGAUAAAUGUGCUGUGAAACCAACUCCACAGCCUGAAUGUCCACAGUCAGACUGGAAAACCUUGGUGAUAGCCCUGGUGUGAGCCUGCCCUUGCUGCUGGGCCCUUCAUGAGCGCAGAGGCCAUGGCAGAGUACAGGGAGGCCAUGAGCCCCACAUCACUUUCCUUUGAUCUUUUUGCAGGGGGGAGUCUCACCUUCUUCCUCGGCUUCCCGAGUGCAACCUGGCCUGCUGCAGUGGGUGAAGUUUUGGUAGGCAAUUUCUUGCAGCCACCACCGAGGCCCCGAAAAGCACUGGUCGUCAGGGAGUUCCUCCCCUUGGCCCCCAGCCUGUGCCAGCCCUGGCCCGGCUGCCACACCUCUGUUUCCUAGGCUGGGGACCCAGCUUGUCUCUCCUUGUUUCUUCCCACUGCACUGUGGUGCUUCAGUGGCCACCAGCCUCGUCAGAUACACCAGC
rnacentral:sRNA from 1 species